UCUGGUUGAUCCUGCCAGAGGUUACUGCUAUCGAGGUUCGACUAAGCCAUGCGAGUCGAAUGUAGCAAUACAUGGCGAACUGCUCAGUAACACGUGGACAACCUGCCCUUAGGUUGGGUAUAAACCCGGGAAACUGGGUAUAAUACCCGAUAGGUCUCGAUUGCUGGAAUGCAUCGAGAUUUAAAGCUCCGGCGCCUAAGGAUGGGUCUGCGGCCUAUCAGGUAGUAGUGGGUGUAGCGUACCUACUAGCCUACGACGGGUACGGGUUGUGAGAGCAAGAGCCCGGAGAUGGAUUCUGAGACACGAAUCCAGGCCCUACGGGGUGCAGCAGGCGCGAAAACUUUACAAUGCUGGCAACAGCGAUAAGGGAACCUCGAGUGCCAGGUUACAAAUCUGGCUGUCGAGAUGCCUAAAAAGCAUUUCAUAGCAAGGGCCGGGCAAGACCGGUGCCAGCCGCCGCGGUAACACCGGCGGCUCGAGUGGUAACCGUUAUUAUUGGGUCUAAAGGGUCUGUAGCCGGCCGGAUAAGUCUCUUGAGAAAUCUGGCAGCUUAACUGUCAGGCUUUCAGGAGAUACUGUCUGGCUCGAGGCCGGGAGAGGUGAGAGGUACUUCAGGGGUAGGGGUGAAAUCUUGUAAUCCUUGAAGGACCACCAGUGGCGAAGGCGUCUCACCAGAACGGACCUGACGGCAAGGGACGAAAGCUAGGGGCACGAACCGGAUUAGAUACCCGGGUAGUCCUAGCCGUAAACGAUACUCGCUAGGUGUCGGCCACGGUGCGACCGUUGUCGGUGCCGUAGGGAAGCCGUGAAGCGAGCCACCUGGGAAGUACGGCCGCAAGGCUGAAACUUAAAGGAAUUGGCGGGGGAGCACCACAACGGGUGGAGCUUGCGGUUUAAUUGGGAUUCAACGCCGGGAA
rnacentral:rRNA from 1 species